CAAGAAACACGAUGGGAAAGGGAAAAGAGCUCUCUCCAAGCAUAAAAGAAGCAGAAGCACAGAAUGGCAAGCUCCAAGAGAAAAUGGAAUACCAAGAGAUACUCAUGGAAGAGUACAAACAAGAGGGGAAAAAGACGAAACUCAAACUAAAAGAGUAAGCACAGCUUAUCAAUGAUAUUAUGAAGGAUUGUGCUAAAGAAAGAAAGGAAAAAGAAAGACAAGCUGCUCUCUAU
rnacentral:misc_RNA from 1 species